AUAUCUUAAUAUAGCCGCGUUAAGGUUAAAUCGUGUACGGCUCAUUAUAAGACAUAUAAUGUCGCAUUAGGAAGCCUCUGCCUGGAUAUCCGCGGUAAUUCUGUGGCUAAUACAUGCACAAAGAGGUGACUUCGGAAGCCUCGUGCCUGUCUGCCCCAAAAUCAAACAGUCUGACGGCUGUUACCGCGUUUGACCAAGGACAGUUGCUACCUAUCUAAUCGCCUUGUGCGGUCGAAAGUAAUGACUUUCAUGUUAUCUAUCAGGUUUCGACUGGUACACCUUUGGGUCCAGUGCGCUUGACGGAUAACGGGGAAUCAGGGUUCGAUUCCGGAGAGGGAGCCUUAGAGACGGCUACCACAUCUAAGGAAGGCAGCAGGCACGCAAAUUACCCAGUAGCCGAAGACUGAGGUAGUGACGGAAAAUAACAAUAACAGACUCUUCCGAGGCCUGUUAAUUGGAAUGGGGCGAUUCUAAAUCACUCCACCAGGAUCUAUUAGAGGGCAAGUCUGGUGCCAGCAGCCGCGGUAAUUCCAGCUCUAAUAGCGUAUAUUAAUGUUGUUGUGGUUAAAAAGCUCGUAGUUGAAAUUCUCUGGGCAGGCUUCGGUCCCUAUUGCUAGGGUACUGAAGCUGCCGUCCUGAAGAAUGGCAUAAGAUGCAGCCUAGUGCCUUUGAUCGGGUGUUAGGCUGGUUAUGCUGGUAUACCUUGACAAAAUUAGGGUGAUCAAGGCAGGCAGUGCGGCCUGGAUAAUUGCGCAUGGAAUAUUGGAGAAGGGUCCUAUGCCAUUUUGUUGGUUUAGCGGUGUCAGGACAAUGAUUAACAGGGACUGCCGAGGGUAUUGCUAUUGACGGGCUAGAGGUGAAAUUCUUGGACCCCGUCAAGAGCUACUGCGGCGAAAGCAUUUACCAAGAAUGUUUUCAUUAAUCAAGAACGAAAGUUAGAGGGUCGAAGGCGAUUAGAUACCGCCCUAGUUCUAACCAUAAACUAUGCCAGCCAUCGAUCUGCGGGUGUUUAGUAUGAACGACCUUGCAGGGAGCUUCCGGGAAACCAAAGCUUUUGGGUUCCAGGGGAAGUAUGGUUGCAAAGCUGAAACUUAAAGUAAUUGACGGAAGGGCACCACCAGGCGUGGAGCCUGUGGCUUAAUUUGACUCAACACGGAGAAUCUUACCAGGCCCGGACACUAGAAGGAUUGACAGAUUGAUAGCUCUUUCUUGAUUUGGUGGUUGGUGGUGCAUGGCCGUUCUUAGUUGGUGGAUUGAUUUGUCUGGUUAAUUCCGAUAACGAACGAGACUCUGUCUUGCUAACUAGUCACCGGCUGGUAAGAAGUGUAGGCAGUCUAAGCCUGGUUAUUGCAACCGGGUGUCAGGCAGCCAAAGCUUCGGCCGCGUGAUCUUCUUAGAAGGACUGGUGGCUUUUAGCCACACGAAAUAGAGCAAUAACAGGUCUGUGAUGCCCUUAGAUGUUCUGGGCCGCACACGCGCUACACUGAAGUUAUCAGCUAGUCUCCCUAGGCGUGAGCCGCGGGUAAACUGUUGAAUCAACUUCGUGGCAGGGAUCGGAGCUUGCAAUUAUUCUCCGUGAACCAGGAAUGCCCAGUAGGUACGAGUUAUCAGCUUGUAUCGAUUAAGUCCCUGCCCUUUGUACACACCGCCCGUCGCUACUACCGAUUGAAUGUCUCAGUGAGAUGCUUGGAUGGCUGGAGAUCUGUCCUAACGGGCUCUCCCCAGCUAGAAGACCAUCAAGCUGAUGCAUUAGAGGAAGUA
rnacentral:rRNA from 1 species